ACUACCCGAAUAACCAAAGCUUAAUGUGCUGAAAGAUGGACUCGCGUCUGAUUAGAUAGUUGGUGAGGUAACGGCUCACCAAGUCGACGAUCAGUAGCCGGACUGAGAGGUUGAACGGCCACAUUGGGACUGAGACACGGCCCAGACUCCUACGGGAGGCAGCAGUGGGGAAUAUUGCACAAUGGGCGAAAGCCUGAUGCAGCAACGCCGCGUGAGGGAAGACGGUUUUCGGAUUGUAAACCUCUGUCUUUGGUGAAGAUAAUGACGGUAGCCAAGGAGGAAGCCACGGCUAACUACGUG
rnacentral:rRNA from 1 species